ACCUGACUGCUAUCGGAUUGGUACUAAGCCAUGUGAGUCAUUGUAGCAAUACAAGGCAUACGGCUCAGUAACACGUAGUCAAUCUGCCCUAUGGACGUGGAUAACCUCGGGAAACUGAGAAUAAUCCGCGAUAGAUCAUAAUGCCUGGAACGGUUUAUGGUCCAAAUGAUUCGUCGCCAUAGGAUGGGACUGCGGCCUAUCAGCUUGUUGGUGAGGUAAUGGCCCACCAAGGCUAUUACAGGUACGGGCUCUGAGAGGAGAAGCCCGGAGAUGGGUACUGAGACACGGACCCAGGCCCUAUGGGGCGCAGCAGGCGAGAAACCUUUGCAAUGUGCGCAAGCACGACAAGGUUAAUCCGAGUGUUUCCUGCUAAAGGAAUCUUUUGUUAGUUCUAAAACCACUGAUGAAUAAGGGGUGGGCAAGUUCUGGUGUCAGCCGCCGCGGUAAAACCAGCACCUCAAGUGGUCAGGAGGAUUAUUGGGCCUAAAGCAUCCGUAGCCGGUUCUGUAAGUUUCCGGUUAAAUCCACUAGCUCAACUAAUGGGCUGCCGGAAAUACUGCAGAACUAGGGAGUGGGAGAGGUAGACGGUACUCGGGAGGAAGGGGUAAAAUCCUUUGAUCUCUUGAUGACCACCUGUGGCGAAGGCGGUCUACCAGAACACGUUCGACGGUGAGGGAUGAAAGCUGGGGGAGCAAACCGGAUUAGAUACCCGGGUAGUCCCAGCUGUAAACGAUGCAGACUCGGUGAUGCACUGGCUUUUGGCCAGUGCAGUGCCGCAGGGAAGCCGUUAAGUUUGCCGCCUGGGAAGUACGUACGCAAGUAUGAAACUUAAAGGAAUUGGCGGGGGAGCACCACAAGGGGUGAAGCCUGCGGUUCAAUUGGAUUCAACGCCGAA
rnacentral:rRNA from 1 species